CCUAGUUAACACUAUUAUCUACAGACACCUAUAAGCAAAGCAAAAGAUCUUUCUUAAAGUAUAUAUAAUGUAGCAUGAAUUAAGCCAUAAUUCGUAGAUUAUAAUAAUCACUUCCUAAUAUGCAAACACCUUGGUGAAGUACACAGAAACCACCUCCACAGUGCCAUAGGAAAAAAAACAGUCCUAGGCAUAUUUUUGUUAUAGACUAAUAUUUAAAAAAUGAAAUUGCUUUCACUAAGUUCAACUAACUAGGCAACAGUCAUUCAAGAUAUUAAAAGGUACAACAGAACCAAGCCCUCACUAGAAAGAAAAAUUCCUAAAAGAGGAAAAAUCAUCUCUACAUUAAAGCCUGAAGUUCAUGAUGUCAAGACACAGAACUGUCUGUGAAAGCCUUUUUAAUUUUCUGGAAGCAUGUUAAAGUGUGUGGGGGAGGAAGGUGUUUAGAAAAACCACUGAUUGCCCAGACUUUACUUAAUUUACGUCAUUACUGAAAACUUGUUACAAGCGCAUUUAAAACAAUAUAGGGAAAAGAGUAUUUUAAAACCUCACUGAAAAGAACUAGAGUAGUGGCAACUUAUACGGAUUUAAAGAAAAAAAAAUUCACACAUUACCAGGAAUAUUCAAGUUCCUACCAAGGCAGUGGUAGAGAUGAGUUUACCCUCCAAACCUAAUCCCAUUUGGCAUCUGCAGUAACUGUUACUACAAGAGAAAAGGGCUAGCACUAACAAAACCACAAGCAAAGACCACCCUCCUAGCCAUAUCUAGCCUGUUUUCCUACCCUUCUUCGCAAUGUGUUAAAAGAACUACCGCUACAUCUGAAAUAAUGCAAAAACCUUUAUAAAGACUUUAAAAAGCUAUACAUAUUUUUGUUAUAAUUUAUCAUUUUGAUAAAUUUGAGGAAGAAGAAAAUAGUUCUUACAGUAACAAGUAGUUUUUUCACCUACCCCCCAUCACCCAAAAGAAAAAACAAGAAUUAACAGUAUUAAGUCAAACCAUAAGAUUGGCUACAGCAAGCCAAGUACUCACUUGAAGGGAAGUAAACGGUAAAACUGUCUACUCCAAUAUUAGAUAAUAAAAAAAAUCACGUAUGGCUUCACAAUUCAAUUUAAAGAAUUUUCCAUGUAUAAAAGUGUCACCAUUUAAAUAUAUUCUGCAUUUUCUAAACAGACAAGGAUUGAUAGUUAAAAGCAGCUUGCAUGACCAGUGCAUAAGAGGAGAACCAAGCAGUAAUGAUUUUUUUUAACUUUUCCACAGUGAAGGAAAAGUCACAAUGAAUAAUAGGUUUGUCUGUAGCAGUAACUUGUUCUAACAGCACUUCAUGAGCAAAGUAUCUUGGAAGAAUUCACAUUUUGUACAUUUUUUUUUUUUAAGUGUAGACCUUACAGCUGAAGUCCAAAUGAGAAAUCCAAACAGGACUCCUGUCAGUGAAUUCCCUUUCAGGACAUGCUCACUCUUGCUUCAAACAGUAAAGCAAAGUAACUUUCAGGAGAAUAAAAGUCAGUCAGACUAAUAUGUCCAGUUACCAUUUAAAAAAGGAAAUUAUUGUGCCUAUUUCCCUGUUUUUUUUUUCCUUAAAAGUUUUAGGUCACUCCACUGAGUCAAAGCUUGAGUAAUCCACUGAGCUUUGUACCUCCAGGUAAAGGAAAGAAAAAUGAGCAUAUUACAAGUGGCUUCCAGGUUUGGAAAAAGUUGGGAGGAGUUAGCUAUGGUAAUUUUAUGUAAGUUAGUGAAUGGAAUAAUAUAAUGCUGGAUAAGAGAAGCUGGUCCCCCGAGAUAACCAGCAUAACUUAAAAAGGAGUCCAAACUCAAGCAUCAUCAAUCACCUUUUUAGCAUUUUUAAAGAGAUGUAUGUUAUUUGUAGGUUUGAUAUUAAUCCAUUUUUUAUUCCAAUAAUCUACACUUCAUACUCAACCUUCUAAAUUCGAACUGCCAGGGUUAACAGUUCCAGGAAAUGAUACUACUCUCAGCCAAUCCUUUUCCAGAUCCCCAUUAGAAAAAGAAACACCCGGGGGGGGGGGGGGGCUGACAUUCACAACUUCUCUAAAAAGCAUGAAAACAUGAUGAUUAAAUUCCACCAAAGGCAAUUAAAAAUCCCAAGUUCCCACAAAGCGUUCCCUACACCAAACGGAAUACCUUUACUUUCACUCCCACAAAGAAAGUAAUCUGGGAUAAGAGUCGGAUAUUGAGUGUGAUAUAUCUGACAUAAAAUAAGACGAAGGAACCUAACUGAAGCUACAGAGGCCAAGAAAUGUAACCCAAAUGGGAGAGGAGAGCUGGAAGAGAAACCCGAAAAGGGAAUGGACAGAAGAGGCUAGUGGAGCAAAGGAACUGGAAAUCACUUCAAGGGAGGCAGCCUUCAGGACUGCGGAGCAAUAGGGAUCUAGGUCCACAGAACCGGGCGUUUACGGAACCCGAAGGCUAAUGGGGAAAACAAUGGGGCGGUGAGACCAGGAGCAAACGGAGAAACGCUCAGGAGAGGGCGACUAGGCAGCACGGGACGGGUGGGAUCAAAGAGCAGAAGGCUGCAGUAGACAGAGGCGGCAGGAAGGUAAGAAGCUAGGUGGAGAGGCAGAUUGGUCCGGUGUGAUGGGGUUUCGGGGCGCACCCGGCAGGAAAGCGAGGGUCCUCUAGGUACCCGGGAGGGGGGCGGGGGGAGUGGCUUAAGAGGAAUUUUUAGAUAGGGAACGGAAGCCGUGAAGGCAGGUAUGAUGGAAGCAAAAAGAACACACCUCGGAGCACAGGACCCGCCGUGCCAGACAAGACGCAGGGAAGAAGAGGCAGCUGAAGGGUUUGCCCAGCUUUCUACUUGUUGUUACAUUGAAGUGGUGCUAUGGGACAAGAAACCAGAAGACUGGACAUACUGCUUUGGGGUGCUCAGGAGACACCCAAAUGGAGCUAUCCAGUAUACCAAAGGAUAUUAAUAUGGCUUUCGCUGCUUCUGCUAUUCAAAUCCACCCAAAGAGCUGGUGUUCAUCUCCAAAUGUGGUGGCAGUACAAUCCAUAAGACUUCACAGCAUUUAGACACGGUUGCUUUUCCACUCAAGGACAGAGGACAAGAGAUGUAAAGAAGCAUUUCCCUGAGGCCUGAAUGCGGUUAAGCAUGAAACUGGAUGUUUAAGGACACAUGUGCCAGUGCUGAGCACCAGAUCUCAAGUGCCAGAAGUGCCCAUAUGCUAUUUAAUAGAUUGAUUUUUUGUGUUUCUGAUAUGUGGGGCCUCCUAAAACACGGGGCUUAAGGCAGGGCCGUCUUGCCUGGGUGGCAGGGUUGGUUGUACUACUGUGCCAAAAGUCAGUCACUAAAUGUCAGAAAGUUCUUUCUGGUCCCACGUAGGAUUCAUGGGUUAAAGAAUUAAGUUAUUUUUAGUGACACAGUAUAUAGACUCUGGAGACAUAGUGAUUGUGGGUUCACAUCCCAACUUUGCUACUUAGUUGUAAGUCACCUUGGGCAAGUUAUGUAACCUUUCUAUGCCUUGGUUUAAAAAACACCCAUCUCGGGCGCCUGGGUGGCUCAGUUGGUUAAGCGACUGCCUUCGGCUCAGGUCAUGAUCCUGGAGUCCCGGGAUCGAGUCCCACAUCGGGCUCCCUGCUCAGCAGGGAGUCUGCUUCUCCCUCU